rnacentral:rRNA from 1 species
AUUGAACGCUGGCGGCAGGCCUAACACAUGCAAGUCGAGCGGAUGACGGGAGCUUGCUCCUUGAUUCAGCGGCGGACGGGUGAGUAAUGCCUAGGAAUCUGCCUGGUAGUGGGGGACAACGUUUCGAAAGGAACGCUAAUACCGCAUACGUCCUACGGGAGAAAGCAGGGGACCUUCGGGCCUUGCGCUAUCAGAUGAGCCUAGGUCGGAUUAGCUUGUUGGUGAGGUAAUGGCUCACCAAGGCGACGAUCCGUAACUGGUCUGAGAGGAUGAUCAGUCACACUGGAACUGAGACACGGUCCAGGCUCCUACGGGAGGCAGCAGUGGGGAAUAUUGGACAAUGGGCGAAAGCCUGAUCCAGCCAUGCCGCGUGUGUGAAGAAGGUCUUCGGAUUGUAAAGCACUUUAAGUUGGGGGGAAGGGUUGUAGAUUUAUACUCUGCAAUUUUGACGUUACCGACAGAAUAAGCACCGGCUAACUCUGUGCCGGCAGCCGCGGUAAUAC